AAUAAUAAUAAUAAUAAUAAUCUUUAUUGCACACAUAAAUUACAUAACGAAAAAUACAAUUAAUAAAAGGAAAAAAAGAAAGUUUUACAAAAGACAGUGUGCAAGAUGACCUAUUAUAACCAUAAGGGGCUAAUCAAGACAGGUGAUCUGCUAAAGUAAUACAUUUAUACAACACAGAAUUACGAAAAAAUAUAGCAUUACAUCCACGGAAGAUAAAUAUAGCUCAG